CAUGAAGAACGCAGCGAAAUGCGAUAAGUAAUGUGAAUUGCAGAAUUCCGUGAAUCAUCGAAUUUUUGAACGCACAUUGCGCCCCCUGGUAUUCCGGGGGGCAUGCCUGUCCGAGCGUCAUUGCUGCCCUCAAGCACGGCUUGUGUGUUGGGCCUCCGUCCUCCUCCCGGGGGACGGGCCCGAAAGGCAGCGGCGGCACCGCGUCCGGUCCUCGAGCGUAUGGGGCUUCGUCACCCGCUCUUGUAGGCCCGGCCGGCGCUUGCCGACACAUCAAUCUUUUUUCCAGGUUGACCUCGGAUCAGGUAGGGAUACCCGCUGAACUUAAGCAUAUCAAUAAGCGGAGGA
rnacentral:misc_RNA from 1 species